GACGAACGCUGGCGGCGUGCUUAACACAUGCAAGUCGAACGAAGUGGCGAACGGGUGCGUAACGCGUAAUCAACCUGCCCUUCAGAGGGGGACAACAGUUGGCAACGACUGCUAAUACCGCAUACUGAAGGAGGGGAUUGCGUGUGAUUAGCUGGUUGGAGGGGUAACGGCCCACAAAGGCGAUGAUCAGUAGCCGGUGUGAGGGGAUGAACGGCCAAAAUGGGACUGAGACACGGCCCAGACUCCGGCGGGAGGCAGCAGUGGGGAAUCUUCCGCAAUGGACGAAAGUCUGACGGAGCAACGCCGCGUGAGUGAUGACGGCCUUCGGGUGGUAAAGCUCUGUUAAGCGGGACGCGGUACCGGAAUAGAAAGCCACGGCUAACUACGUGCCAGCAGCCGCGGUAAUAC
rnacentral:rRNA from 1 species